AAAUUGAAGAGUUUGAUCAUGGCUCAGAUUGAACGCUGGCGGCAGGCCUAACACAUGCAAGUCGAACGGUAACACAGAGAGCUUGCUCUCGGGUGACGAGUGGCGGACGGGUGAGUAAUGUCUGGGAAACUGCCUGAUGGAGGGGGAUAACUACUGGAAACGGUGGCUAAUA
rnacentral:rRNA from 1 species